rnacentral:rRNA from 1 species
AUGAACGCUGGCGGCGUGCCUAACACAUGCAAGUUGAACGCCCUUCGAAGCCCGCAAGGGCGGAGAAGGGAGUAGCAAACGGGUGAGUAACACGUAAGCAACCUACCUUCAAGACUGGCACAACUAGUCGAAAGAUUGGCUAAUUCCAGAUGUGGUCAGAGAAACACAUGUUUUUUUGAUUAAACCCCGCAAGGGGCUUGAAGAUGGGCUUGCGUCCUAUCAGCUAGUUGGCGGGGUAACGGCCCACCAAGGCAAUGACGGGUAGCUGGUCUGAGAGGACGACCAGUCACAAGGGAACUGAGACACGGUCCCUACUCCUACGGGAGGCAGCAGUGAGGAAUUUUCCGCAAUGGGCGCAAGCCUGACGGAGCGACGCCGUGUGUGCGAUGAAGUCCUUCGGGAUGUAAAGCACUGUCAGCGGGGACGAUAAUGACGGUACCCGCAGAGGAAGGCCCGGCUAACUACGU